rfam:Picea glauca, whole genome shotgun sequence.
GUAAUGGUGUCUUUAGACACCACCAUUUCUUUCAUAUCCUUUGUU